rnacentral:lncRNA from 1 species
CUGCAGCAAGCCUCCAGGGUGAGGAGCAGCAAGUGCAGACACCACUACAGCCCAGAAAGGAAGCAUUGUCACCUGAUGCCUCAACACAAACUGCCCUGGAUGGUGCCAGCUGGAGAAAGUGCACGCAAGCAGCAGUGGGCUUUGCCUGUGGCCAAGAGUCUCCUCCUCAUUGUCCUACCUCAAAUUCCCUCUCCGAUGGUGAAUUUUUACUGUCUCUAAAAAUAUUCAAAAAAGAGUGUCAACAAUCUGAGGGUCAUCCCAGAAACUCCAUGUCAUGUUCUGAACCGAAACCUCUCCAGAGAAGCAUGCCGCCACCCAAGGCAAGGGCAAGUGCUGGCAGGAUCAGCUCAACUGCGGGCAGAGCAAGAGGAGCCUAAACUCACAACCUCCUCCCAAGGACUUAACACUAUUUGUCAGUUCUCAGGACUAUGAGCCUUCCAAAAGAAAACAUUAGGCCAUUGUCACUUUCAAACACAAUAUCCCCAUAUUUUGGAGGAAAUGGGGCAAGCAGGUAAAUAUGGAGCCUUUGGGGAAAAAAAA